rnacentral:rRNA from 1 species
GUCUGUAUGAAGGUGUAUAGAGUCUGGCCUGCCCACUGACUUAAGGUUGUUUAAAGGGCCGCGGUAUUUUGACCGUGCGAAGGUAGCAUAAUCAUUAGUCUUUUAAUUGAAGGCUUGUAUGAAUGGUCGGACAAAAAGUGAGCUGUCUACAAUUAUAAAAAUUGAAUCUGACCUUUAAGUGAAAAGGCUUAAAUAUAACAAAGUGACGAUAAGACCCUAUAAAGCUUUAAAGCUUGAAUUUUUUAUUACAAAUUAUUAAAUAAUAUAACUUAAUCUAAAAGGAAGCUUUUUUGUUGGGGCGACAAAAAUAUAAAUAAAUAACUGUUUUUGUUUCAGUAAAACAACGAUAAUUGGACUAGAAAAUGAUCCUUUAUUAAAGAUUAAAAGAUUAAGUUACUUUAGGGAUAACAGCGUAAUCUUCUUUGAGAGUUCAUAUCGACAAGAAGGGUUGCGACCUCGAUGUUGAAUUAAGGUUCCUUUAUGGUGUAGCAGUUAUAACAGGAGGUCUGUUCGACCUUUAAAUCCUU